ensembl:lncRNA
AUGAUAACCAUACCUGCUUUUUACUUGUUCAUCRUUAGCAGUGAAUAUAUAUAUAUUAGCCUUUUUUUUCAGGGUAGGAGAAUGAAAAUGUGUUUCUGGACAGCAGCCUCCCCUUCAAACAGCAGCUACUUCCACCGUGCUUUUUAUCCUCCCUAUUUACUCUUGCUUCAAGCAUCUCAAACAACUUUGUCCAGGACAGGAACAAAUAAAGAAGAGGAAACCCUGAAGAGCCCUGGGGACAUUCUGCAGCAUGUAACGCAAGGUGUUUGCACCCUGGGCCUGCCACCAAAGCAUACAGCCAUUAUAUCCACAGAAGGGCAGAAUUUUUUUAAUGAUGCACUCGAUUCUCUUUGGUUAAAAGUAUACAGAAAGCAUGCUAAAAAGCAAAAAAACUUUAAAACUUUGCAAUUGCAUGAAAAUCUAUUCCCUCUACAACACCAUCAUCUUUGAGGCUCCAGGCUGAGACAGAUGUUUCUGGUGUGUUACGUGCUUAUGAAUCUACGCAGUUGAAAAUGCCACUGAAAAAGCUAGCCUUAAUAUUUCAAACUGUUGCUACAGAAAAGAAAAAUAAGUCUUUUGAUGAGUUUAUAAAUGAGCUUAGUGAAAACUUUAAAGACUAUUAAGAAAGAAAUGGUAAAUACCGCUAUUAAGUUUGAAAAUCCAAAACCUACUAGUGAAAUGAUGAAAAAAGAUGCAUGAAUUUAAGAAGGUGGAACCUGAACCUCUAGGCAAAGAAGUCUUGAGAAUAACUGAAGCAUUCCAAAAAGCAAUAGAGAAUGCACCUGCCAAUGUUAAACAAAAUCCACAUUUCAGUGGGCAUGUUGAAUUGGCUGAAAUCUAGAUAGCAACAGCUCAAGCACCAGAAGCAACAGAGAAUUUGUUAGAGCAACUGUAUAAUUUUUUUCUAAAGCUUCCCUUGCUCCUCCCUUUCCAUCUCUGUCUCCAAUAUACUGUCUAGGAGAGAAUUCAGCUGAAACCAGAAAAUUAAGAACUUUGAUUAACCUGCUUUAUGAUUUUAGUCCUGAAUUAAAUACAUAUAUUGAUACCUACCCUGGGAAAAAUAUCACAGAAGAUAUUAUUGAAAAGCGAUUGCUGUGACUAAGGCUCUAAAACAUGUUUUCUGUGGAAAUUGGAACACAACAAAAAAGCAGGAGGGAAAUCAUUAGAAGAUACGAAACUUUUAAACCAUACUUUUAAGAAUGUUAAAGACACUUAAAAAAAAAAAAAAGUUAAAUAUGAAUAUCUGCAAUAUUGUCAUUGCCUUUUCUUGAGGCUUUAAAGAUUAAUUUUCAAWUUUCUCUGUUACCCAGUAGUUAAAAACUAUCAUUUUUAAAUUAUCRUGCUCAUAUCUGUGAUUUGAAAAUGACUCUGACAGGUUUUUUCUAUGAAAAAAAUCUGUUUGCAUUUGAAUGAAAUAUGCUUGGUCUAGUUACAGAGCUCUCUCUACUGCAAGAAUAUCCUAUAUUACUGUAUGUGUACCAUUUAGUGUAGAGAACUGGAUUUUUUUUUUAAUCUUUUCUUUUCUAAACCUAAAUAUCACUAAGGAUAUCUGCACUCGUGGAUUUGUGCCACAAUAAUACUAGGCUCCCAUUCAGAUAAGUACAACAUGCACAUUCCUGGUAUUUUAAUACUAUGUACAGAACAUAAUUGCUUUUUAUAUUUAAUUUUAAAAUACAUUUCAAACUUUCUAGUAGUCAUUUUUUCAUAAAUUUGUCAUAUUCAAUUAAAAUGUUUUUUCAAAACUCUUCUUCCUCUGCUUGAAGAAAAUAAAAAGCAACAGGCUCUUUUAAGCCA